rnacentral:tRNA from 1 species
GGGGGUAUAGCAUAACAGUGAAAUGCGCUUUCCUUACGCGAAAGAAAUGUGAUACUCACUUCCCCUA